GACGAACGCUGGCGGCGUGCUUAACACAUGCAAGUCGAACGGUGAAGCGCCUUCCUUUUUGGUGGGUGUGGAUGAGUGGCGAACGGGUGAGUAACACGUGAGUAACCUGCCCCCUUCUUCUGGAUAACCGCAUGAAAGUGUGGCUAAUACGGGAUAUUCUGGGUCUGUCGCAUGAUGGGUCUGGGAAAGAUAUUGUUUCGGUGGGGGAUGGGCUCGCGGCCUAUCAGCUUGUUGGUGGGGUGAUGGCCUACCAAGGCGGUGACGGGUAGCCGGCCUGAGAGGGUGGACGGUCACACUGGGACUGAGACACGGCCCAGACUCCUACGGGAGGCAGCAGUGGGGAAUAUUGCACAAUGGGCGCAAGCCUGAUGCGGCGACGCCGCGUGAGGGAUGGAGGCCUUCGGGUUGCGAACCUCUUUCGCCAGUGAAGCAGGCCUGCCUCGUUUGUGGGUGGGUUGACGGUAGCUGGAUAAGAAGCGCCGGCUAACUACGUG
rnacentral:rRNA from 1 species